GUGGGGAAUAUUGGACAAUGGGCGAAAGCCUGAUCCAGCCAUGCCGCGUGUGUGAAGAAGGUCUUCGGAUUGUAAAGCACUUUAAGUUGGGAGGAAGGGCAGUAAGUUAAUACCUUGCUGUUUUGACGUUACCGACAGAAUAAGCACCGGCUAACUUCGUGCCAGCAGCCGCGGUAAUACGAAGGGUGCAAGCGUUAAUCGGAAUUACUGGGCGUAAAGCGCGCGUAGGUGGUUUUGUAAGUUGGAGGUGAAAUCCCCUGGCUCAACCUGGGAACUGCCUCCAAAACUGCAUGACUAGAGUACUGUAGAGGGUAGUGGAAUUUCCUGUGUAGCGGUGAAAUGCGUAGAUAUAGGAAGGGACACCAGUGGCGAAGGCGACUACCUGGACUGAUACUGACACUGAGGUGCGAAAGCGUGGGGAGCAAACAGGAUUAGAUACCCGGGUAGUCC
rnacentral:rRNA from 1 species